rnacentral:rRNA from 1 species
UACGUAGGGGGCGAGCGUUGUCCGGAGUUACUGGGCGUAAAGGGCAUGCAGGCGGUCGGACGCGUUUCGGGUGACAGCGGGUGGCUUAACUACCCGAGUGGUCGAAAGACGGUUUGACUUGAGGACGCGAGAGGGACACGGAAUUCCAGGUGUAGCGGUGAAAUGCGUAGAUAUCUGGAGGAAUACCGGUGGCGAAGGCGGCAUCCUGGACCGACAUUGACGCUGAACGGCGAAAGCUAGGGGAGCAAACGGG